ACUCCUACGGGAGGCAGCAGUGGGGAAUAUUGCACAAUGGGCGCAAGCCUGAUGCAGCCAUGCCGCGUGUGUGAAGAAGGCCUUCGGGUUGUAAAGCACUUUCAGUCGUGAGGAAGGCGGGUACGUUAAUAGCGUAUUCGUUUGACGUUAGCGACAGAAGAAGCACCGGCUAACUCCGUGCCAGCAGCCGCGGUAAUACGGAGGGUGCGAGCGUUAAUCGGAAUUACUGGGCGUAAAGCGCAUGCAGGUGGUUUGUUAAGUCAGAUGUGAAAGCCCGGGGCGUCAACCUCGGAAUAGCAUUUGAAACUGGCAGACUAGAGUACUGUAGAGGGGGUUAGAAUUUCAGGUGUAGCGGUGAAAUGCGUAGAGAUCGUGAAGGUAAUACCGGUGGCGAACGGCGGCCCCCGUGGACAGAUACUGACACUCAGAUGCGAAAGCGUGGGAGCAAACAGGAUUAGAUACCCCGUGUAGGACAGUG
rnacentral:rRNA from 1 species